rnacentral:tRNA from 4 species
CUAUGGCGCAGUUGGUUAGCGCGCCAGAUUGUGGCUCUGGAGGCCGAGAGUUCGAAUCUCUCUAG